GCGAGACAACCCUAAGUUUACAUGUAUUUAUACAGUUGUAAAAAAUAUUUAAGAUUACUAAGUAACCACUUCACGAUUGGGACCUGCGACGCACCUGAAGCAAUGUACUUUUUGAGGCGGUUUUUAUUAUUUAAGUAGAAAUUAAAACGGCUACCAAGAGAAAUGGUUAUUUAUAAUUUCAAAAAAGAGAACACAUUUUGACAAAGCAUUGUUUCCAAGUUAAUAAUACUAUUGUCAUAAAAUGGUUGUAACAACUAUUAAUCAAGGGAGCAGCUGCGUUGCGUGUACUAGGAGCGCUGCAUGGAGCAGGGAACCAGGUAAGUAUAUUGCAUAGGGGGGGGGCCCGGGCACAUGCAGGGGGGAUGUUUAUUAUUUCGCAUAACCACUUUAAGAAUUUUUAUUGCAAUAUAUUUGUGGUACAACUUAUACCAGUUAUCUCAAUAAAUGUAUAACAUUUAUGUUUUGUAAUUAGAAACAAUUUUGUUUAACUUAAUACCGCUUUAAAAUCAUGCGGGUAAAAUGCCUCUCAUCCAACGAAUCCAUUGUUUUUUUAUGUCCUCUUUGUUCGGUCUCUCCAUGUUGCUGAUAUUUGGAGGCAGUGUUGGAGCCCUUGAAGUCCACUCUGACUGCAGGUUGCCAUUAGCUAGUUUAAGAACAUCAGUAGACAAAUUUUCAAGGUAGUUUACCGACAUUUUCUCAUAUAUAUGUUUGACAAUCCAGCAAUUUUUUUCCUUUUGGUAACACAAUGACUGUUUUCUUUGAGCCAAAUGCCUCAGUAUUUUUCUUUUAAACAUUGACAACAGCUUGUGGUCUCCCAACGUUGUUGUUGUGCGUCAAGGCAGCCAAUUUAGUCCUGGUUUCCAUCCCACCAAUGCCGAAUUCUCUAAUGCCCCUGUAUGACAGUUGUGUACCAGGUGUGGAAGAUCGCUGACGAGCUGCUGGCUAUUUACAAUCUUUUGAAUGUUUAGAUAUUGUGGUUUAUCCUUCUGCAGCCAUAAAAUUUUAUCUUCAGUUUCUUCACCAAUUGUUCCAUGCGAACAGUUUGAAUAUAAUUCUCCUUCCCACUGGUGUCGAUCAAUGAUAUGAUGUAAGAGCGAUAGCCACUUGAAGAAGUUUCCUUUCGUCUUCGCAAGUCUGGAUGCUCCACCAGAAAUGCGGGAUUAUCUUUGGGAUCCACAGGGUAAUUUCCUUGCAAAACUUCAGUCUACUUGCAGAAGUCAGCUUCUUUCGGAUGGACUUGGCGAAAUGCCAGACAUCAAACUGAUGUUUAAUAUGGCUGUAUUCUUGUCUCAUCUUCUUCCGGAUACCAACAUGUCUAUUAGAAGCGAAGAUUUUAAUAUUGAAGUCUUCAUUUAGUAGACUAUCUAAAACAAUACCGAAUACCUGCUUCUCCAUUGCUACUGAUGAAGGACAUUGUGUUCGCUGGACGACUUCAAAGUCGAUUAUCUUCUGUGUAACAUUGUCCAUCAUCGUGUAGACACAAUACUUGGCUAUCACAUUGCCCAUCUCCAGCAAUGCACAGGUCUUUAUGUCUAAUUUCUUCUUUUAUCCUAGACUUUUCAUUUUUCCAUGCCAAAUCGAAUGCAGGAAACAGAAACUUACUUUGAUAUCGAUAAUAGCUUUUUUCAUAUAUACUUAACAAUCCUAAAGAUAUCAAAGAGUUCUUUUACUUUCUGAAAGUUGAG